ACCCGCUAAUGCCGGGGUAAGAUGGUUGACAGUGGAUCACUCAAUUUUUCGGAGGCCAUAUCUCAGGAAAGGUUUGACAUAUUUACAUUUUGUUUGGACUCUUAUAUACAUCAUUUAUUUAAGAUUUAUUGUGUUGUGGUUUAAAAGCUAUAUUAUGAGACAUGUAUGGUCACUAACGCUUUUAAAAAAAAAUGGAAUUUGAUCCACUGUGCAACAGGGGGUGUGAACAAUGGAUAUACCAGUGGUCCACAGUGGACCAAAGAGAAUCAUAUCAGAAAGAUAAGGGGAAAAAGAAUGAAACAGAACA